CUUUACCAUCAAAUGACUGAAGUGUUUGAAUUAUUGCAUCUUUAAUUGACAAUUCCAGCAUUCCGGUAUUGGUUCGGUAGGCAAUUGCAUUAUGAAUCAACAAAACUAAAAAUUUUGGUGAGUAGGUACAUACCUGAAUAGAAAUCUUUACAUACUUGUUUCAUUGUUCCAACUGAGAGCGGAUUUAACUUGGGACUCUCCUAUCAACACGAUCAUGGCUGAUCCAGAAAUAUCGUGUACGUGUAUCGUUUGUUUAGGUAGAGAUUUUUUUGUUUCAUUAUUAAAUAUCUCGAAUUCUUCUUUCCACUGUAUUGCAACUAAUACAUUGACGAACGCCCCAUCUUUAAAGUCAUUCACUAGUGACAGCGGAACAAUAUUGUCGCUACCAAACCCAGGACAUGGUAUUUGCUCUGGUUCAGAAAUUGUAGCUUCAAUCUUGCUUUCCAAAUUUUUGGAAUGAAUCUGUAGUUUCCAAGCUCUUAUCCCAGAAACACGACAGACUACGUCGCUAUAGACGAAAACUGAAAUGCCGAGUUGUAACUGUCUCAGCAUUUCAAAUUUUGGCGAAUACUUGGAUAAACUAUAGUUCAAUUCAACAAUUCCAGUAUCAUCCAUAAGUUUAAACAUAUAACAAACCUCGUUGGAUGAGACACGCUUAUUUUUUAAAUUAACUAUCUUUCCCUUAAAAUAGUAUCUAAAUGUACUUGUCCCUAACUCGUUAAUUUUUUUGAAUUCAUACAAUUUCCAAUUGAUAAACUCAGAUAAGUAAACUUCCAUUUUUAUCUGUAAUUUGUGGUGGUUUGCUUUAUUUCUUUGGAUGCAUGAAAUACGCGGUAAUGAAGUGAGCUAAUUUAAAUACUAAACAUAUAUACUGAGGCAGUUG